rnacentral:rRNA from 1 species
UUGUCUCAAAGAUUAAGCCAUGCAUGUCUCAGUACAAGCCAAAUUAAGGUGAAACCGCGAAAGGCUCAUUAAAUCAGUUAUGGUUCCUUAGAUCGUACCCACAUUUACUUGGAUAACUGUGGUAAUUCUAGAGCUAAUACAUGCAAACAGAGCUCCAACCGGAAACGGGAGGAGUGCUUUUAUUAGAUCAAAACCAAUCGGUGUCGGUUUCGGCCGGCUAUCGUUCAAUUUGGUGAUUCUGAAUAACUUUAUGCUGAUCGCACGGUCUUGCACCGGCGACGCAUCUUUCAAAUGUCUGACUUAUCAACUGUCGAUGGUAGGCUCUGCGCCUACCAUGGUUGUAACGGGUAACGGGGAAUCAGGGUUCGAUUCCGGAGAGGGAGCCUGAGAAACGGCUACCACAUCCAAGGAAGGCAGCAGGCGCGCAAAUUACCCACUCCCGGCACGGGGAGGUAGUGACGAAAAAUAACGAUACGGGACUCAUCCGAGGCCCCGUAAUCGGAAUGAGUACACUUUAAAUCCUUUAACGAGGAUCAAUUGGAGGGCAAGUCUGGUGCCAGCAGCCGCGGUAAUUCCAGCUCCAAUAGCGUAUAUUAAAGUUGUUGCGGUUAAAAAGCUCGUAGUCGAAUUUGUGUUUCGCGCCGCUGGUUCAUCGUUCGCGGUGUUAACUGGCGUGACGCGAAACGUCCUGCCGGUGGACUUAGUGCAACUUUCUUUGGUGGUAGCGUUGGCAUUCACGUGCUGGCGUCACUCACCUUGAUCGUAGUGCGGUCCAAAUUAAUCCUGUUGCGGUGCUCUUCAUUGAGUGUCGCAGUGGGCCGGCACGUUUACUUUGAACAAAUUAGAGUGCUUAAAGCAGGCUAAAACUUUGCCUGAAUAUUGUGUGCAUGGAAUAAUGGAAUAGGACCUCGGUUCUAUUUUGUUGGUUUUCGGAACUCCGAGGUAAUGAUUAAUAGGAACGGAUGGGGGCAUUCGUAUUGCGACGUUAGAGGUGAAAUUCUUGGACCGUCGCAAGACGGACAGAAGCGAAAGCAUUUGCCAAAAACGCUUUCAUUGAUCAAGAACGAAAGUUAGAGGUUCGAAGGCGAUCAGAUACCGCCCUAGUUCUAACCAUAAACGAUGCCAGCUAGCGAUCCGCCGACGUUCCUCCGAUGACUCGGCGGGCAGCUUCCGGGAAACCAAAGCUUUUGGGUUCCGGGGGAAGUAUGGUUGCAAAGCUGAAACUUAAAGGAAUUGACGGAAGGGCACCACCAGGAGUGGAGCCUGCGGCUUAAUUUGACUCAACACGGGAAACCUCACCAGGCCCAGACACCGGAAGGAUUGACAGAUUGAGAGCUCUUUCUUGAUUCGGUGGGUGGUGGUGCAUGGCCGUUCUUAGUUGGUGGAGCGAUUUGUCUGGUUAAUUCCGAUAACGAACGAGACUCUAGCCUGCUAAAUAGGCGCAAUACGACAUCUUAAUUGCCCGCCUGCCUUCGUGUGUGUAGUCUUUCGGGGCUGCAUGCGCGUUGGUUUGGUUGUGGUUUUUACUGUCGGCGUACAAAUAAUUCUUCUUAGAGGGACAGGCGGCUUCUAGCCGCACGAAACGGAGCAAUAACAGGUCUGUGAUGCCCUUAGAUGUUCUGGGCCGCACGCGCGCUACACUGAAGGAAUCAACGUGUCUUCCCUGGCCGAACGGCCCGGGUAACCCGCUGAACCUCCUUCGUGCUAGGGAUUGGGGCUUGCAAUUGUUCCCCAUGAACGAGGAAUUCCCAGUAAGCGCGAGUCAUAAGCUCGCGUUGAUUACGUCCCUGCCCUUUGUACACACCGCCCGUCGCUACUACCGAUUGAAUGAUUUAGUGAGGUCUUCGGAUUGGUACGCGGUGGCGUUUCGACGUUGCCGAUGUCACUGAAAAGAUGACCAAACUUGAUCAUUU